UACAGAGGUCCCAAGCGUUGUUCGGAUUCAUUGGGCGUAAAGGGUGUGUAGGUGGCGCCGUAAGUCGGGGGUGAAAUUUCGGAGCUUAACUCCGAAACUGCAUUCGAUACUGCGGUGCUUGAGGACUGGAGAGGAGACUGGAAUUCAUGGUGUAGCAGUGAAAUGCGUAGAUAUCGAGAGGAACACCUGCGGCGAAGGCGGGUUGCUGGGCUGACACUGACGCUGAAGCGCGAAAGCUAGGGGAGCGAACGGG
rnacentral:rRNA from 1 species